rnacentral:rRNA from 1 species
GGAUGAACGCUGGCGGCGUGCCUAAUACAUGCAAGUCGAGCGAACAGACGAGGAGCUUGCUCCUCUGACGUUAGCGGCGGACGGGUGAGUAACACGUGGAUAACCUACCUAUAAGACUGGGAUAACUUCGGGAAACCGGAGCUAAUACCGGAUAAUAUAUUGAACCGCAUGGUUCAAUAGUGAAAGACGGUUUUGCUGUCACUUAUAGAUGGAUCCGCGCCGCAUUAGCUAGUUGGUAAGGUAACGGCUUACCAAGGCGACGAUGCGUAGCCGACCUGAGACAGAGAGCAGCCAGCCGUGAAGUGUGUCCCGCUCUAGGCGCCUGCGGGAAGGAGCAGUCGGGCAUCUUCCAUAAUGGGCGACAGCUCGACAGACUAUGUCCUCAUGAGUGAAGAAAGUUGUCGGAUACUAACACCCUCUUAUUAGGAACGAACAAAAGUGUAAGUAAAUACCCCCGCCCUGACGCUACCUAAUCGAAAAGCCAACACUAACCGCAU